rnacentral:tRNA from 1 species
GAAGAGGUGGCCGAAGUUUAGGUGGUAGAUUGUAAAUCUAUUUAUAAUAAUGUAUUUCUCUUUA